rnacentral:pre_miRNA from 1 species
CGGGGCCGUGGCGCUGUCUGAGACGCUCUACUAUUCUCACAGUGAACCGGUCUCUUU